AAAUGCUGCUAAGGCAUCUGGCACACAUCAGGAAGCUCUUCAGCUUGUGCUCUUGAAGCCUUUUUGUACAGACUAAGUGCAGCAUUGCUGGGUGCAGUCCUGAUUUUAAAGCAUCCUCAUCUUGCAACGAUUUUUGCUGGUUCCUGUUCCACUCGGUGGGUCUUUCAUGCUAGGCACAAGCCUGUCUGAAUACCAUGAAGAUGAAGCAGUAACACAAAAAAGCAGCAAGCAUUUUCAGUGUAUCAGGGAAAAAAAAGAUGAUAAGGACUUAUUUCACUUGCUCCAAUAGUGCCAGAAUUUGAGACAGAAACAUAAAUAACGCUGAUUACACUUUGUCAGACUAAAUCCAAGGAACUGAAAAACUUGACUCCAGGCUGCUGUCAUUUAUAAAUAUUCAGGGAGCCAUUCAAAUACAUGUGUUUUUUUAAAAAAAUCUAUUUUCUAGAAAAUUCUCUAAAUAAUCAUUGCUGGUAAACUCUUCUCGAAUGUAAUGUGAUACAAGCUUUGUGCCAAAAUCUGGAACACAGCUGAGUGCUCUGAACAGAGUGGGAGACACCUGAGAUGGUUCUGUUAAAUUAUGCAAGAAUCUCAGCUAUGCACAGCAAAAGCAUCAGUGUCAGGAGGUGAAGAACACAGCACUCUGUACACACACAACUAAAUGUGUUUAAAGCAGGAGUUCUCAAGACUCUCCCAAGAGUUUUGGCCACAUUUUGUAGAGAAACUCUUAGUUUCACUUCCCAGUAAUGAUCAUAAAACAUCUUUGUGCCAGAUAUAGCAAUUGCCUGCAUGGAAAAAUAAUUUUAGGCAAGUAUUUAAUAUGUUUUAGCUACCUUGAGACAACAGCUUAGCAACUGCAAAGAGUGGGGCCAGCAGCUUGUGAUCGGCUCUUCUGAGACCACCAGGAGGACUGUGGGCCCUGGAGCAGUCUGCAGACACGGUACCACCUGGGCUGUCUUUCUAUGGCAGCAUUCCUCCAUGAGAGACAUAGGAGGUUACUUUUGCAGAUGUCUUACCUCAUCAGCCAUAUCAGUCGUGUCUAAAGUGAUUUGGGCACUAGUGUCUCACAUUAGCUUCCCUAGUGUCUUAUUUCGUCUUGUUCUUUUCCGCCAGAGGAAGCCCUAGAAGAAAAUGAAAGGAGCAUCAGCAUCUAACCUCCUUGACUUUAACUCCCUGUCUUCUGCAGGUCUGGCUCUUAGACUUUCAGACUUCAGAUUGAUUUAAUGAUGUUGGGAUGCUUAGUUCUUAACAGAAGUUGUGCUGGAGAAGGUCAUCUCCCUGGGUUUGUAAAGAGCACUGAACUGUGGGAAGAUAUUCACCCUCCUUAGCUUCAUGUGUUUUGCAAUCAAAUGGGAGUGGUCAGCUCGCAGGAGCUGCAUUGUUUUGGGUUUGUGGAGAAGAGGUCCUUUUUCAAAACAGGGCUCAACUCACUGCUGCCAAACACUAUAACAGGAAAAGAAGGUUAAUUCUUGGAUGGUACGAUGGCAAAUCAUCAUUCUGGCUGGAAGCCUUGUUUUGCAGUGUUGUUGCUUAGUAUCUGUCAGCACUUCAAUUCCGAGGAAUUUAACUUUCUCUUCCAACAACUUGGCCUCAACUAAAUGUUUGCAUAUAAAGUGUCAGAACUCAGAAGGGUUUUUUUUUUUUUUUUAGGUUUUUUUUUUUUUUUAAUUAACUUUCCAAACGAGGUUAUGUCUUGAGAUAUGAAAAAGUACUCAGGGGGUGCUCAGCAUUAACAGAAGAAAGAUAUUACCUUGGCACACAUUUAACCUUGUGAAAUAUUUAAAGGAAGGCGAGAGGAACAUUUGAAGUACGACCUUGAACAAUGCAAAAUCCUGCAGAUUUAUCCUGAAACGGGGCUGUACUCUGAGGUAUUUGGCACCUCCAGCCGCUGCGAUUACUCCACUGCCUUUGAGAGUAACCGACGACAAAACUAACCUCACACGUUCCACCGGUUUCCUUUCAGAGAUCCUUCAGGUGCCGAUGGAUCGCAAGAGGAAGGAUCUCGUCCCCAGACUCCGAAGAUACGGAUAAGCAGAAAGUAAUUGUUAACGAUUUGCCGAUCUAAACUAAAAACGAUGCCAUGAAACCACGUAGUUCUGCGGCGCCCCAAACCCUCGCGUUACAUCGAGCAGAAACAAAGUGUCAGAGGGUGAACGCCAUCAGCUGCAGUGCGGUACGCACUGAUGGGAGCUCUGCCCCCAAAAGGAGAGGAAGUUAUAAGAGAUUAAGAGCCUUCGGGAAACACUGACGCAUCUCAGUGGACUUUUGUUGCAGUCAAAUUCAUCCCACCUGAGGGCAACGCAUAAAAACUCCGCCGAGUACAGAGGAACGAAAGCUGUGCUGAGCAGCACGACAACACCCCCCGACCGCCAGAACCACCUCAGCGCCCGCCGGGGCACGAGCCCCCGUCCACCUGGCGUCACGCGACCCCCGAGGGGCGGGUCGCAGCAUCGCCCGGCG
ensembl:lncRNA